GUCUACAGCCAUACCAUCCUGAACACACCUGAUCUCGUGUGAUCGCAGAAGCUAAGCAGGGUUGGGCCUGCUUAGUACUUGGAUGGGAGACCAUUGGAGGAUGUUGCAUGACUGGGGAUG
rnacentral:rRNA from 1 species